GUUUCCCCUGACCUGGGUGUGGUCAAAUUGUGGAAUAAUUACUAGGGAUUUAGUCUGUGCUGGGCUCUGAACCACUUCUGGCUUCACGAUUCUGGCUUUGGAGGUUGCUACUCUCCUUACUUUUAGUAAGGAAAUCAAGGGGCAAAGUCCUCAUCUGGAAAACUCAGCAAUGCUGCUAUUUUAGAAUGGCACCAGGCCUCCGGCUUCUUGAUUCAGCCACAGUUGCCACCUCUUCUUCAUGGAAAAGGAAAACACUGCCUGAUGGAGAACAAAGGCUUCUGUCCACAUCUUCUGAGUUUCCAAAAUGCCAGAUCUACUGGGCAGCAGCUACAAGCCAUUCCUCAGGGGUCACUGCCCCUGGGUGGACAAGCUCAGGGAGGUGUUUGCUACUUCUCCUGUGGUACUUAGCCCUACAUUCUCCAGGAGGCUGUAGACACUGUGCCUUGGCAAUGGAAUUGGAGGAUCUUGAAAGCAGUUUUUGAGACACAUUCAGAGCAUGAGGAAUGGAAUGCGUUUGUCUGGUAAGAAGGAAGAAGGCACAUGAAGACAUUUUCAGAAAGAAUGAAGGAUGCAGACGGGAAAGCCAUCACGAUGAGGCCGGCCCAGAUCUGCACAAUAGGUGCCCUGUGUGCUGUUGGGGGACUUUUAUGUGUUUGGGAUGUUUGCAACCUCUGGCCCAGCUACGACCCUGGAUGGGGGUCUGCUAAGAAAAAUAAUCUGGCUUGGAACGGCAUUCUUCCAGCCCCACUGGAUGGGAAAACGCCCCUAGGAGCCAAGUCUCUCUGCCCUUGGCAAAGCCCUGGCCCCUGAAGCCACUUAUGAGCUCUUCGCUUUGAAAGGCCUGCACUAUUCCUAUCUGAGUCAUCUGAAAACAAAUAAAAAGAGACCUAAACAAACAAACCUAAUUGUGCGCAGAAACACAGCCAGAUUUCCAGCCUGGCUCCCCUCUGUUUUCAUUAGUCGGGAGCCAAUGCAUACAGCUCGCGUGGCAUCCAGAACAAGCUGAAAUAUGAAAAACAAAUUGCCAAGCUCACUCUUUCUUCCCUCUGCCUCACAGGGCACCAAGGGAGCCAAGUCCUGGUCUCCUUUGCCUUGACGAACAGCUAUCCAUAUAGCAGACUGCCCGUGGCCCACCUGGGGACAGUGGCAUCUGUGACCAUCAGUAAUUGAUGGGCACACAGAAAGUUCUGCAGACAGGCUUGGGGUCUUAGGAGAUUAUUCUUUGUGCAAUCGACCAGAAAGAUUUCUCCUUCGUUUUCCUUUCGGAUAAGAUCACCUCGUUUUUCUUUGAAGAGUCGACCCUCUCUACAGCUUCAGCCCCUUUAGUUUGCUGUGUCUGUCACAUCUUCCUUGUUUCUAGUGUGGGUGAUAGGACCUCGACAACCAGACUUGCCAAGAUAGUGUCUCCCUAAGAUGCUAAAUCCAAAUUAGGCUGUAGAGAGGCAAGCCUGAGUCUUCAGCCAUGCUAUCCUGAAUGCGUCAGAUCUCAUCUGAUCUCAGAAGCUGAGCAGGGCCGGGCUUGGUUAGUACUCUCAUAGGAGAGACAAGCUCGAGCCGUUUGAGACGAUUGGGAAAGCAGCACACAUUCUUAGAGGGUCAAGUCGCUGGCACAGUGCAAGCCUGGAGCUGGAGGAGGUCAUGCUGACACCACAUGGGGAAAGCCUGCUUAGCUUGAGGAAGAGCAGAGCUGGGUGAGAGGAAAUCCAGAGUUCAGCCAGCACCCUCUGAGCGCCUGGAUCCAGCAGUGGCUGACCAUGGCUCCAUCCUGGACUUUGCCAUUAUACAAAGCUCUCGUCUUUCUUCAGCUACUUUAUUUGAGCUUUGGAAUCUAGAAUUCCGUCUUAUACACACCCCUGCACAGACUUCAAAAGGUCAUUCGUACUUACAUUUUUGUGCCUUAUUUGGGGAGAGGCGCUUCCCCCCCUCCCCCAACUUCUGGGGGAUGAUUUUUUUCAAAAGGGGUUUUUUUUUUUUUCCCACCUAAGUGAAUUUGAAGAUCAGUUCUGUUUUCAUUUCAGUUGUAUGGAAU